CACUCCCGUCCGGGUCAGUGGGUAUCGAAGUCAGAUUCCCUCCCCGUCCCCUUGACACCAAUUUGACCGAUGGU
rnacentral:snoRNA from 14 species